rnacentral:rRNA from 1 species
UACGGAGGGUGCAAGCGUUAUCCGGAUUCACUGGGUUUAAAGGGUGCGUAGGCGGGCAGGUAAGUCAGUGGUGAAAUCUCCGAGCUUAACUCGGAAACUGCCAUUGAUACUAUUUGUCUUGAAUAUUGUGGAGGUAAGCGGAAUAUGUCAUGUAGCGGUGAAAUGCUUAGAUAUGACAUAGAACACCAAUUGCGAAGGCAGCUUACUACACAAUGAUUGACGCUGAGGCACGAAAAGCGUGGGGGAUCAAAACAGG